AUUCAUUUAGUAUAAUGAGUAUAAUAAGCUUCCAACUUAGAGGUUAAUUUAAUUUAAAUGAAUA
rnacentral:tRNA from 1 species